GCAUUAGUUAGAGUGAUGGUUGUAAAUACCUCCACGACCUUUAGCUUGAUUGUGACCUUUGGGUCAAUGGGGUCAAAGGUCAAGGUCAUUUAUCAAGGUCAAAAGUCAAGGUCAUGAAAAGAGAGAGAGGUAAACUUGAGAUUAACACUUGAAGCUGAAUCUAGAUAAAGGUAAUGAAUAUUUCUUUAUGACCUUUUGAGUAAGGGUCAAGGUCAGAGGUCAAGGUCAAAAUCAAAUUUCAAGGUCAAAGGUCAAGGUCAUUUGAAUUUUAAGCUUAAAUUGACAUUUUCUCUACUUUUCCAAUGACCUUGACCUUUGACCUUGACCUAUUUUCAAGGUCAACGGUCAUAAGAUCUCAUGCACUUGGUCCUAUAUCUUUACCACUUGUCAUUUAAAAGUUUUUAAUUUUUCUUGUAAGCUUUAAAACUUUCAGGGGCAAUAACUCAUUGAAGGAGUCACCGAAUACUUUUGCAAUGAAUAGAUUCCAGGGUCCUCUCAAUUAGUCAAAGACAUUGGUGAAGGUUUCAUACCUCUACGGUUUACGGUUUCAAAGGAGUAGCGAUAACAAGCAUUUCUUGCGAAAGGGGCAAUAACUUUGAAAGGGGUCAAAGUUCAAACAUGGGGGGUCGUUUUUCGGAAUAACUUUUAAUAUCCAAUAUCAUGAACUACAAAGUUUUUCGAUAAGUCUUGCGGUUUCAAAAGUCCGGGAAGAAAAAUAAUAAUAAUAAUAAUAAACAUAAGCAUUUCAAGAGGUCUUUCCACAGAAAGGUGGAAAGCCCUAAUAAGGAAUGACCUUGACCUUUGACCUUGAUCUAAAUUUGAAGAUCAACGUUUUUAAAGUAGUAGAAGACAUUGUUUAAGGUUUUGCAUCUCUACGAUCAAUGGUUUCGAAGGCAUAGCGAUACUAAAGUUUCAGGGGCCAUGUAUAGUCUACUUUUUGUUUAACACUAGGAGACUAAUUGUUCUCUGAACAAUUAACGGCUUUCCACCUUUUUUAAGUUUUCAUGUCAUUUGAAUUAAAAAAAAAAAAAAAAAAAAAAAAUGAAAAAAAAAAGUUUCUCCAGCUGGGCUUGAACCUACAACCCUCAGUUUGUAAGUCGGACACGCUGACCAUUGAGCCAUCAAGUUGUACACAAGUAAGCGUAUUUUGUAAACUAAUUUAUUUUUUGAAGGUGGAAGAGGAUACCUGUAGUUUCGUAGGAAAGUACCGGUCAAAUUUCUUAAAAAACUGAGAUCUUGCCGGUUUGAUGUGAUAUUGUAUGUAGGAAAAUGAUUAGAAUAAUUAUGGGACACAUUUGCAGUGAAGCAAUGACACUUAGCAUAUACAGAGUCGUAAAAGCGAAAGUAAUACACGUGGUCAGUUGCAGAGGAAAUUCAAAAUCCCGGAAAAACAGUGGAAGAGGAUACCUGUAGUUUCGUAGGAAAGUACCGGUCAAAUUUCUUAAAAAACUGAGAUCUUGCCGGUUUGAUGUGAUAUUGUAUGUAGGAAAAUGAUUAGAAUAAUUAUGGGACACAUUUGCAGUGAAGCAAUGACACUUAGCAUAUACAGAGUCGUAAAAGCGAAAGUAAUACACGUGGUCAGUUGCAGAGGAAAUUCAAAAUCCCGGAAAAACAGUGGAAGAGGAUACCUGUAGUUUCGUAGGAAAGUACCGGUCAAAUUUCUUAAAAAACUGAGAUCUUGCCGGUUUGAUGUGAUAUUGUAUGUAGGAAAAUGAUUAGAAUAAUUAUGGGACACAUUUGCAGUGAAGCAAUGACACUUAGCAUAUACAGAGUCGUAAAAGCGAAAGUAAUACACGUGGUCAGUUGCAGAGGAAAUUCAAAAUCCCGGAAAAACAGUGGAAGAGGAUACCUGUAGUUUCGUAGGAAAGUACCGGUCAAAUUUCUUAAAAAACUGAGAUCUUGCCGGUUUGAUGUGAUAUUGUAUGUAGGAAAAUGAUUAGAAUAAUUAUGGGACACAUUUGCAGUGAAGCAAUGACACUUAGCAUAUACAGAGUCGUAAAAGCGAAAGUAAUACACGUGGUCAGUUGCAGAGGAAAUUCAAAAUCCCGGAAAAACAGUAAAUGAGUCAUGGACAUUUUUUCUAUACUAUACUGUAUAAAGCGGGGUAUAUGCAAUUGAUUUAACCUAUCUAAAUUGCGUGGAAAUUUAUUUGAUAUGAAAAAUCGCUAUUUGCGAAUUUCAGCCGAUUCAUAUUUAAAUCUAAAUAAAAUUAAAAUAAAUUCCAUACACCUAAGAAAGCAAGAAUACUUGGUAUUAAAAUGUCGUAAUAGAGCAGGAGAAUCGAAUGUUAUUAACAAUAAUUGCAGAAAUAGCCAAUACGAGCCUUAAUUAAUUUUUAUGCUCAGCAAUAACUAAAUUUCAGACAGAAAAAAAAUGCAGAUUUUGCCGAUAUUCACUAGAAUUUCAAAAUACUUUAGAGACUCACCUUAAAACUCUCAGGACACUUUCUUUCAGGUCUCUUCUUCCUUUUAUUACGAAUCUUAUGUCGAUAUUUUGUUUCGUUUGACUUGUAGACAUUUUCUCUAAGUUGGUGUUGAUUUUUUUUUUUUUAGAGGGGGGGGGGGGCGUAUUUUAUAAGCAUUAGUUAGAGUGAUGGUUGUAAAUACCUCCACGACCUUUAGCUUGAUUGUGACCUUUGGGUCAAUGGGGUCAAAGGUCAAGGUCAUUUAUCAAGGUCAAAAGUCAAGGUCAUGAAAAGAGAGAGAGGUAAACUUGAGAUUAACACUUGAAGCUGAAUCUAGAUAAAGGUAAUGAAUAUUUCUUUAUGACCUUUUGAGUAAGGGUCAAGGUCAGAGGUCAAGGUCAAAAUCAAAUUUCAAGGUCAAAGGUCAAGGUCAUUUGAAUUUUAAGCUUAAAUUGACAUUUUCUCUACUUUUCCAAUGACCUUGACCUUUGACCUUGACCUAUUUUCAAGGUCAACGGUCAUAAGAUCUCAUGCACUUGGUCCUAUAUCUUUACCACUUGUCAUUUAAAAGUUUUUAAUUUUUCUUGUAAGCUUUAAAACUUUCAGGGGCAAUAACUCAUUGAAGGAGUCACCGAAUACUUUUGCAAUGAAUAGAUUCCAGGGUCCUCUCAAUUAGUCAAAGACAUUGGUGAAGGUUUCAUACCUCUACGGUUUACGGUUUCAAAGGAGUAGCGAUAACAAGCAUUUCUUGCGAAAGGGGCAAUAACUUUGAAAGGGGUCAAAGUUCAAACAUGGGGGGUCGUUUUUCGGAAUAACUUUUAAUAUCCAAUAUCAUGAACUACAAAGUUUUUCGAUAAGUCUUGCGGUUUCAAAAGUCCGGGAAGAAAAAUAAUAAUAAUAAUAAUAAACAUAAGCAUUUCAAGAGGUCUUUCCACAGAAAGGUGGAAAGCCCUAAUAAGGAAUGACCUUGACCUUUGACCUUGAUCUAAAUUUGAAGAUCAACGUUUUUAAAGUAGUAGAAGACAUUGUUUAAGGUUUUGCAUCUCUACGAUCAAUGGUUUCGAAGGCAUAGCGAUACUAAAGUUUCAGGGGCCAUGUAUAGUCUACUUUUUGUUUAACACUAGGAGACUAAUUGUUCUCUGAACAAUUAACGGCUUUCCACCUUUUUUAAGUUUUCAUGUCAUUUGAAUUAAAAAAAAAAAAAAAAAAAAAAAAAAAAAAAAAAAAAAAAAGUUUCUCCAGCUGGGCUUGAACCUACAACCCUCAGUUUGUAAGUCGGACACGCUGACCAUUGAGCCAUCAAGUUGUACACAAGUAAGCGUAUUUUGUAAACUAAUUUAUUUUUUGAAGGUGGAAGAGGAUACCUGUAGUUUCGUAGGA